AACCGCGGUUAGACGAGAGGCCCCAGUUGACUACACUACGGCGUAAAGGGUGGUUAAGGAUAAACAAUAAAUAAAGCUAAAUAGCCCUUUGGCCGUUAUACGCUCUUGGACGCUAGAAACCCGAACACGAAAGUAGCUUUAACCAACCCCUGACCCCACGAAAGCUAAGAGA
rnacentral:rRNA from 1 species